CGUGUCGCGGGGACGUUUUAUACGAUCUCAUCUGCAGAUGCUACAGAUGCCUCCUCUUUCUUCGGUCAAAACAUUUUUGGCAAGCCUUCUUUGGUAAAGCAUUGUCUGGCAAACUGAACUAAGGGCAUAAUUGUCAUUUGACAUGACUAGAUAUAAUUAGAAAAUUUUGAUGUCUUACCGGCUAUAUGAAUACAGCUCCUAUAAACAAUCUCACAAGGGUGUUAAGGAGGGAAUCCGGACUAGUCAAAGCACUUAGAGAACUUGGAUUCAGGACUUAUGGAUUCUAUUGCUGCCUUACCCAACGACUCACUGCACAAUCCAAGAUGGAUUGCUUGGCCUUGACUUCACUGGGACCAGAAGCAAAUCACAGCACAGAUAAAAGGGAAGCGGCAGGCUGAGAGCCAUCUCUGGAUACAGACUGUCCUGCACAGCAAUGUGGUGUCGGCAAGGCACACAUUCCCCUGGAGGAGAAAGGGUUCAGUCAUGCUGAAAAUAGAUCCUUCUUGAGACAAUUAUCAGGCAGCUGCUCCCUUUCUGCCAGACUUGGAGAUGUGUAUUUCCUUCUCCCCAUCCCAGUGGUUGGCUGAGAGACAGGGGCAGUGAGAAGGCACUUUUAGAAAUAGCAUGUGAGGAAAGGGGUUUUUCAGCCAUUUUGAUCCAAGCACUGGGACCAGCCUGUUUGCAGAGAGAGAGACGGAAAGUGGCUGAGCUUAAACAGGUUUAUGAAGUAGAUUAUUGCACUGGGUAACCAGGCAUUUGACACGGUGGAGUAGGAUCAGUGACAUGGCCUAAGAGCAAAGCAGGACUUGGGAUUCCAUCUUGAAGCACAGCACUGUGCCAUGAGCUGCUGAGAACAAGACAGGAGUGACAGAACAUCUUGGGUUUCUCCUCUCCCAUCCUCGUUACUUGUCAGCAGAAGCAGGCCAGACUCCUUCCUGAGCACUGCCUGUCUGUGUCCUCGAGAUAGACAAGGAGACCCAUUUUGAUAUACCUUUCCUAGGCACAUAGAUGAGAAGCACUCACCUAGAACUUCCCAACAGUGUCAGCAUCCUAUUUGACACAGUGCCUGGUGCUAGCACAAAUUAAUUCAACUUCUCAGAGCACUGGAAUGUCUGCCCAAAGGUAUCCCGUUCACUUUCCAGCCCUUCCAGGGAUGUCUUCUCAGCAGUCUGCUGGGUGUUCUCCCUACCUGAAAUCCUGCAGUUUCAACUAUACCAUACAUUCACCACAAAGUAGCUGAACGCAUCUUUGUCCUUGGGAAACACCAAGCAGAAUUACGGUGCCCAGUGCCACUGGGGAGAGGAGCUUCAGGCAGCUACUCAGACUUUGCUGCUGGCACUGCAGAGCAUUUGAUAACCAUUUCCAUGGGAACAAGCACAUAAGACACCUCAGCUUCUAAUUCUUGGAUCUGGUGAAUUAAUCAACAAUUACGUUAAGCAAGACUCACAUAGGACUUGGAGAAGAAAGGUGUCUCUGACUCCCACGUUCAGCUGUGGUACUCACCCUGGCCUCCAGCUUCUGGAUUUGCUUCUUGCCUCCCUUCAGGGCCAACUGCUCAGCCUCAUCCACACGGUGCUGCAGGUCCUUCACCGUCUGGUCCAGAUUCCUCUUCAUCCUCUCCAGAAUAGAAGUUAUUAUAAAAUAAGAAGUUCCAUAUCAAAAUGAGGAAGAACUUCUUUCCAUGGAGGAUGGAGAGCACUGGAACAGCUGCCCAGGGAAGGGCAGCUGCUGAUGUGUUUGCUCUCUCUACGUCCAGCGUCAGAUCCUCCACCUCCCCCUGCAGCUUCAAAUUCAUCUUCUCCAAGGAGGCACACUUGGAAUUCACAGUCCCUGCCUGUUCUCCUGCUUUCUGGAGACGCUGAGCAAGUUUUUUCCUUAAGGAACAUAAAUAAAACAUGCAUAUGAUUGAAAAAAAUCAUUGCAGUAUGUAUGUCAUUUUAACUAAGAGUAUUGCAAAUCCCACUAAAAUAAUUCAGGUUGGGCUACUAAAAGUAGAUCUAUGUCCUGCACAAUAUAUGUAACAUCUGGACAGUUCAUCCCACUCCCCACGUACUUGGCCUCCUCGAGCUCCUCCGUGCGCUGAAUCGCGUCCGUCUCGUAUUUGGUUCUCCACUGGGCCACUUCGCUGUUGGCCUUGGACAGGGCGCG